rnacentral:rRNA from 1 species
CACGCCGUAAACUAUGAGAGCUAGCCGUUGGAGGGUUUACCCUUCAGUGGCGCAGCUAACGCAUUAAGCUCUCCGCCUGGGGAGUACGGUCGCAAGAUUAAAACUCAAAGGAAUUGACGGGGGCCCGCACAAGCAGUGGAGCAUGUGGUUUAAUUCGAAGCAACGCGAAGAACCUUACCAGCCCUUGACAUCCCGGUCGCGACUUUCAGAGAUGAUCGUCUUCAGUUCGGCUGGACCGGUGACAGGUGC